rnacentral:tRNA from 1 species
CUCGAAGGCUUUUUUGGGGGUUUAGCUCAGUUGGUUUAAAGCAUCGGCUUUGCAAGCCGGGGGUCAAGGGUUCGAAUCCCUUAACCUCCAUUUAUUUGUUUUUAAAUAAGUGUGAAUUAAGCCUUUUAAGAAAUGUCUUGUAUUAAAAAAGAAGCUAUUCAAACGUAUUGUUGCUUUUAAAGUGUUAUUUUUUGAUUUAUUUAGGUGAAUUUAGUAUUUUAUAUUGAGUUAACAAAUUUUUUCAUGGGCUUAAAAGGUAUGUUUUUAUGUUAUUUGUUAUCCUGAUGAAUUUCUUUUUAUGAAUUCCAAGACUUGAUUACGUGCAAAAACUUUAUCUUUAAUUAUUUUAUUCAUAUUAUCAAGAACCUUAUCAUGAAUCAACCUAAU